rnacentral:rRNA from 1 species
UACGUAGGUGGCAAGCGUUGUCCGGAUUUACUGGGCGUAAAGAGUGCGCAGGCGGCCAAGUCAGUCGAAUGUGAAAGCCCCCGGCUUAACUGGGGAGGGUCAUUCGAUACUGCUCGGCUCGAAAACAGGAGAGGGAAGUGGAAUUCCCGGUGUAGUGGUGAAAUGCGUAGAUAUCGGGAGGAACACCAGUGGCGAAGGCGACUUUCUGGCCUGUUCUUGACGCUGAGGCGCGAAAGCUAGGGGAGCAAACGGG